rnacentral:rRNA from 1 species
UGGGCAAUCUGCCCUUCUCAUCGGAAUAAGCGUUGGAAACGACGUCUAAUGCCGAAUACGACCUCCUUUCGCAUGAUCGGAGGUGGAAAGCUCCGGCGGAGAAGGAUGAGCUCGCGGCCUAUCAGCUAGUUGGUGUGGGUAAUGGCCCACCAAGGCGACGACGGGUAGCCGGCCUGGAGGAGGGUCGACCCGGCCACACGUGGGACUGAGACACCGGCCCAGACCUCCCGUACGGGGA